AGAAACCAUGACACUAUGGCAGGCCAACUUACUAGCUUUCAAGUAAGGUAACAUCUCAGACCAUCAUAGGUUUUGACAGGGGAAACUCUGAAGGACCACAGGAGUUGGAGGUUCCACGUAUCUCUAAGUAGUAACAUACGAUGGGUCCAAAACAGAAGAAAGAGAACUCAAGAUUCCCGAGCCACAGAGCUGUUGAUUGGAGGCUGACUCAGAGAAACCCUGGAUUCAGUGACAUACAGAGACAACAGGGACUUAAUCGCCUUCUGGACAAACAUAAUCUAUGCGACCUCCUCCCCAUAAGGUGCCAUAAGCAAAGUGAGCGGUUUGGAGAGAACACUGUACAUGACUUCCUGACUACAAUGGCCUGUGGCUGAUGAAGUACAGCACUUUGGUGGAAACAGGUACAGGAUCAGUAUGGGUUUUAAUUGAGGGGCUCGGCACCAAAUGACAGACUUGACACAUCCACCCCCACCAUGGAUGCUGUCCGUCCACUGUUGCACAAUGUCCUUCAGUGUCUAAUUUACAGAUCCAGCUGUAUUUCCCCUUCCACCUGCAUCCCUGAAGUUCCUCCCACCUGAAAACUUCACCUGACCCAAGAAAGCAAAGGAAAAAACCCGGAGAGCCAGCUCAUAGUCUGGUUCACUGUUUAACAGCCAGAAGCCAGAGCCUGCGUACUAGAAGUGGAUGCCCAGGAAGUACUUGUGAGCUGACUAAGAAUGUAAGAACGCCACCCACUUCAUUCAGGAAAGUGAGGCAGGAUUCCAUGGAGUAUGAAUGACUGCACAUGGAACAAGCAGGUUAUCAUUUAUAUUCAGCAAGGGACCUCCAUGAACAGGACAUUUGGGGAGCUGCUAUCAAACAUCAGAACUUCUGACACUGUGCACACAGUCUUAUAUUGUGCCUUGUCUGUUGUGAUGUCUCACUACAGUAAUGAUUAAGAUGAUGAGCA
rnacentral:lncRNA from 1 species